CAGUCGCCGCGGUAAUACGUAGGUGGCAAGCGUUGUCCGGAAUUAUUGGGCGUAAAGGGCUCGCAGGCGGUUUCUUAUGUCUGAUGUGAAAGCCCCCGGCUCAACCGGGGAGGGUCAUUGGAAACUGGGAAACUUGAGUGCAGAAGAGGAGAGUGGAAUUCCACGUGUAGCGGUGAAAUGCGUAGAGAUGUGGAGGAACACCAGUGGCGAAGGCGACUCUCUGGUCUGUAACUGACGCUGAGGAGCGAAAGCGUGGGGAGCGAACAGGAUUAGAUACCCCUGUAGUCCCUGUCUCUUAUAC
rnacentral:rRNA from 1 species